AUGGCGGCGGCCGCUCACACACAGCGUCUUCCUCACACACCGCCUGCCCCCCCCCUCCCCCUCCCCCUCCCCUCUGCCCAGCAGCAGCUUAUUGUCCGUCACUGACCCGGAGCCAGAUCCCCGUGUCCGGGCCCAGUGUAGCACCAGCCUGUGUAAUGCGCCUAUACACCCCUGUCACAGUGCUAUGUGGGAACCGACACAUCCUUUUCAAGUCGGAGACAAAGUCGUUGUGAAAGUGCUCCCGAGGAAUAAAGGUCCAGGAGAUUUCACCUAUGGUCCAGAGACGGAAGUCGUGGCAGUGACCAGGACGGCUGUCCUUACUGAAGACGGGCCCACGUGGAUACACGCAUCCCGAGUAAAGAAGAUACCCAGCCCAAAUCGCGAAGCAAGUCAAGGAGAUUCCAGCGAGGUACUAACCGGGGCAGACAGCCCUGACCUCCAACAUGGAGAAGCAGACGAUGCAGAAAAAGAACAAGAUGCCUACCUAUGGCCAGGGGACUAUGUUGACAAUCCUAAUGGUCCUCACUUGCCAAGCUACAGCUGAAGUAGACAUUACACAAAACUCUGGCAUUUGCACAUUCUGGUACAACUCCUCCAACACUGAGGUUGCUACUUAUAAAAUAGACUUUUUGCAAUUUUGGCCCAUGCCUCAGAAAACAUUAUGAAUGGGGAUGUGACCAGUAUGGAACACGUAAUACCCCCAAUGAAGCUUAUAUUUGUGUUACUAGUAAAUAUUGGGGUGAUAAAUGUGCGUAUUGGGGAUCAGUGGGAUGGAAUUCUGGUCAUAGUUAUGGAUACCAGCCCAAGGAGGCUCUCUCAAGUAAAGACAAAUAUGGUGAGUCCCUGCUUACCCGUCUUACCCUUUAUAGACAAAACAGAUGUGAUAGUAAAUUCAUAUUAAGCAUAAGACAUCCCCAGUCUACUGAUGCAGGCACCUAUGUCCUGGGUGAAUCCUUUUUUAUAAAUCCAUCCCUUACACAAUUCUUGUUACAGGAUAUGUUUAACAAUGAAAAGUAUGCCCAGCUCAAGUCCCCUAAACCACGCCCCAACCUCUUGAGACCUCAUAUAACUACCUUCCAGGAAAUGAUUGCUAUAGACAACCCCACUUUUGAAGACACUAUGGCCAUUGAAACUGGGUUUUCAGAUAUUAAUCUUUGGGUAGAAUGGAUGAGAUAUAAUGCCAAGAAACAUAAUAUGACUAAUUGUUAUGUAUGUGGUAAAUCCAGACCCCAUCUGGGAACAGUCCCUCUAAAUAUCCCCUUAGACCAAGAAAGCUGUUUCUUUAGUUUAUACAAUGACACAGAAACUAAUGAAGGUUCCCCUACCUCAAACACUGCUCCCACACAUAGAAGAAAAAGGGAAACUCCAGUAGGUAGCUUCGAUCCACAUGUUUAUAUUGACACAAUUGGGGUCACAAGAGGGGUGCCAGACGAAUUCAAAGCUAGAAAUGAAGUAUCUGCAGGAUUUGAAUCCUUAAUCCCUAUAAUAACUGUCAAUAAAAAUGUUGCAUGGAUCAAUUAUAUCUACUAUAAUCAGCAAAGAUUUGUAAAAGACACAAAAGAUGCUCUUAAGGGUCUUUCUGAGCAACUGGAAGCCACUUCCCAGAUGACAUUCCAAAACCAAAUGGCCCUUGAUAUGAUACUAGCAAAAAAGGUGGUACUUGUGUUUACAUUAGUAAGGUAGAAGGGUGUUGUACCUAUAUACCUGACAAUACUGGCCCUAAUGGUAAAGUUACCUUAGCCAUAAAAAAACUAGAUGAUUUAUCCAUAGAGCUAAAAAAAAGAAUUCAGGUAUUGAUAACCCAUGGAGCCAAUACUUUGGUUGGUUUGAAAAUUGGAAACAGGGUCUUGUUCAACUAGGAAUCUAUAUAUUGAUUGUGAUAGUAAUUUUGUGUGUUGUUUUCUUUUGCAUUAUACCCUGCUGCAGAAAACUCGCCACAAAAGGUAUUGAAAACUCGCUUAUGUAUGAAGCCGUCCUUACAAUCCCUCCUAACUCCCCUGCAGCCUAUAAGCAAUACCUAACUGAAUAUAGAAAUAAAAAGCUCUAUGAAAAGAAUCAUGUUAUAUAAAUAUAUGAUUCUAAGAGGGGAUUGAAGGGUUAAAUAUGUUAUAUGAACUGUUAUGGGCUUGAAUAGAUACGUACCACUUUGUACAGGGUACCUUUAUCUCUUCAUACAAUACAAGGCUUGUCUGUGUCUCCUCUUUAGGGAGUGUUACAUUCCAGACUAAACCUGUUAUCUCUAUUUCUACUUCUGUUACCAAUCUUCCCAGAGGUUUUUGUAUUCUGCCCAGUAACUACUAACGAGCCAAUAAGAGUGUAACACAUGUUAGUUACACCCAUGUACGUUGUCUUUAUAUACCUUUGUUAACCUUAUAAUAAAGCAGAGUAAUUCUUAA